rfam:Ictidomys tridecemlineatus contig053909, whole genome shotgun sequence.
GGGAGUGUAGCUCAGUUGGUAGAGCACUCCCUUAGCAUGUGUAAGACCCUGGGUUCUAACCCCAGCACCCCCG